GGGCAGAUACCCAAGUGGCCAAAGGGGACUGACUGUAAAUCAGUUGGCUCAGCCUUCGGAGGUUCGAAUCCUUCUCUGCCCACCU
rnacentral:tRNA from 1 species